rnacentral:rRNA from 1 species
GACGAACGCUGGCGGCGUGCCUAAUACAUGCAAGUCGAACGCUGAAGGAGGAGCUUGCUUCUCCGGAUGAGUUGCGAACGGGUGAGUAACGCGUAGGUAACCUGCCUGGUAGCGGGGGAUAACUAUUGGAAACGAUAGCUAAUACCGCAUAAGAGUAGAUGUCGCAUGACAUUUGCUUAAAAGGUGCAACUGCACCACUACCAGAUGGACCUGCGUUGUAUUAGCUAGUUGGUGAGGUAACGGCUCACCAAGGCAACGAUACAUAGCCGACCUGAGAGGGUGAUCGGCCACACUGGGACUGAGACACGGCCCAGACUCCUACGGGAGGCAGCAGUAGGGAAUCUUCGGCAAUGGACGGAAGUCUGACCGAGCAACGCCGCGUGAGUGAAGAAGGUUUUCGGAUCGUAAAGCUCUGUUGUAAGAGAAGAACGAGUGUGAGAGUGGAAAGUUCACACUGUGACGGUAUCUUACCAGAAAGAGACGGCUAACUACGUG